AUUGAACGCUGGCGGCAGGCCUAACACAUGCAAGUCGAGCGGAGAUGAGGUGCUUGCACCUUAUCUUAGCGGCGGACGGGUGAGUAAUGCUUAGGAAUCUGCCUAUUAGUGGGGGACAACAUUCCGAAAGGAAUGCUAAUACCGCAUACGCCCUACGGGGGAAAGCAGGGGAUCUUCGGACCUUGCGCUAAUAGAUGAGCCUAAGUCGGAUUAGCUAGUUGGUGGGGUAAAGGCCUACCAAGGCGACGAUCUGUAGCGGGUCUGAGAGGAUGAUCCGCCACACUGGGACGGGGACACGGCCCAGACUCCUACGGGAGGCAGCAGUGGGGAAUAUUGGACAAUGGGCGGAAGCCUGAUCCAGCCAUGCCGCGUGUGUGAAGAAGGCCUUUUGGUUGUAAAGCACUUUAAGCGAGGAGGAGGCUACCUGGAUUAAUACUCUAGGAUAGUGGACGUUACUCGCAGAAUAAGCACCGGCUAACUCUGUGCCAGCCGCCGCGGUAAAAC
rnacentral:rRNA from 1 species